CGCCUGGGGAGUACGGGUGAGGUAACGGCUCACCAAGGCAUCGACGGGUAGCUGGUCUGAGAGGACGAUCAGCCACACUGGGACUGAGACACGGCCCAGACUCCUACGGGAGGCAGCAGUAGGGAAUCUUGCGCAAUGGGCGAAAGCCUGACGCAGCAACGCCGCGUGGGGGAUGAAUGCCUUCGGGUUGUAAACCCCUUUCAGCAGGGACGAAAAUGACGGUACCUGCAGAAGAAGCUCCGGCCAACUACGUGCCAGCAGCCGCGGUAAUACGUAGGGAGCGAGCGUUGUCCGGAAUUAUUGGGUGUAAAGAGCUCGUAGGCGGUUCAGUAAGUCGGGUGUGAAAACUCAAGGCUCAACCUUGAGACGCCACUCGAUACUGCUGUGACUUGGGUCCGGUAGAGGAGUGUGGAAUUCCUGGUGUAGCGGUGAAAUGCGCAGAUAUCAGGAGGAACACCAGCGGCGAAGGCGGCACUCUGGGCCGGUACUGACGCUGAGGAGCGAAAGCAUGGGGAGCAAACAGGAUUAGAUACCCUGGUAGUCCAUGCCGUAAACGUUGGGCACUAGGUAUGGGAUCAUAUCAACGGAUUCCGUGCCGUAGCUAACGCAUUAAGUGCCCCGCCUGGGGAGUACGG
rnacentral:rRNA from 1 species